rnacentral:rRNA from 1 species
CCCUUAGAUGUUCUGGGCCGCACGCGCGCUACACUGAUGCAUUCAACGAGUCUAAAACCUGGUCUGAGAGGGCUGGGUAAUCUUUUGAAAGUGCAUCGUGAUUGGGAUAGAUGAUUGCAAUUCUUCAUCUUCAACGAGGAAUGCCUAGUAAACGCAAGUCAUCAGCUCGCAUUGAUUACGUCCCUGCCCUUUGUACACACCGCCCGUCGCUCCUACCGAUUGAACGAUCCGAUGAAAACUGUGGAUUGAGAGUCUGAGUGGGUUCGCCUACCUCAACUUUCGAGAAGCGGUUUAAAUCUUAUCGUUUAGAGGAAGGAGAAGUCGUAACA